UCCACCCACCUCUCCAGUAUUUUGACAGCUGCAGCUGCUGGGAACUGGAGGUGGGGGGAGGCAGCCCCAGUUUGGUCCCCCAAGACUCAGCUCGGCAAUCUGUGUAGGGUGGGGGGGAUGGUGUAUUAAACUAGCAGUGCAUCUAGUCUAGUAGCCUGUCUCUGAUACUGGCUAAUCACUGAUGUUUAGAGACAGGGUAAAGGAAAUCCAAAAUGAACAAUUUUCUAAUAAUGUAUCAUUGUGGAAAUUUCAUCCUAACUGGCAGUUCUUGACCUCGGAGAUAUGUUGUGGCUGUGAGAUCUACAGACUUGCCAAGCUUCGUGUUCUUGGGGAAUCCUGGCACAGGAUGCAGCCUGUCUCACUCACAAAGAACUCUCCCCCUCCCCACCUCUGCCUGAACAAGAACUGAUUCGAGGAAGGACUUACAGAAGACAAAGAAGAUGCAGUGUGAGAGACACCUAAAGCUCUCCAGACAAGGGUGACAAGAAUGAAGCAACUCCCCUGGUUUCAUUUGCAUCUGAGAUGGAACCAGAUGACAACUCAUUUAAAUGGGAGAUGGGACAGGAAUGCACC